rnacentral:lncRNA from 1 species
UGGUUGGUGGCACAAAGGGGGAGGGGCUAGCGCCUCCCCUGCUUUUCCUGCCUUCUAUGAACCUGGCGGCAAGAAACCCUAGGGUUUCUUGCUCCUGGGGUGUGGAGAAUAGCUGAAGAGAGAGGGAGAAGAGAGAAAGAGACUUGGGAGAAAGGGUUUUCGUAUUCCUUGGCUUAAUCAAACCUAUACAGUGCAUGUAUAUAUAAACACAAGGUCAAGUGACCCAAACCCAAAACUCCCUUGACCA